UUAAGUGACUAAGCGUACACGGUGGAUGCCUUGGCAGUCAGAGGCGAUGAAAGACGUAGUAACUUGCGAUAAGCCCAGAUUAGGUAGUAACAACCAUUUGAGUCUGGGAUUUCUGAAUGGGGAAACCCACUUACAUAAGUAAGUAUCAUUAACUGAAUACAUAGGUUAAUGAGGCGAACCGGGGGAACUGAAACAUCUAAGUACCCCGAGGAAAAGAAAUCAACCGAGAUUCCGAAAGUAGCGGCGAGCGAAAUUGGACUAGCCCUUAAGCUUUACACGCGUUAGACGAACGGUCUGGAAAGUCCGACGAUACAGGGUGAUAGUCCCGUAGUUGACGACGUGUGUUCAGUGAAAUCGAGUAGGGCGGGACACGUGAUAUCCUGUCUGAAUAUGGGGGGACCAUCCUCCAAGGCUAAAUACUACUGACUGACCGAUAGUGAACCAGUACCGUGAGGGAAAGGCGAAAAGAACCCCUGUGAGGGGAGUGAAAUAGAACCUGAAACCGUGUACGUACAAGCAGUAGGAGCAGGCUUUGUCCUGUGACUGCGUACCUUUUGUAUAAUGGGUCAGCGACUUAUAUUCAGUGGCAAGGUUAACCAUCUAGGGGAGCCGUAGGGAAACCGAGUCUUAACUGGGCGUUCAGUCUCUGGAUAUAGACCCGAAACCAGGUGAUCUAGCCAUGGGCAGGUUGAAGGUUGAGUAACAUCAACUGGAGGACCGAACCGACUAAUGUUGAAAAAUUAGCGGAUGACUUGUGGCUAGGGGUGAAAGGCCAAUCAAACCUGGAGAUAGCUGGUUCUCCCCGAAAGCUAUUUAGGUAGCGCCUCGGACGAAUACUACUGGGGGUAGAGCACUGUUAAGGCUAGGGGGUCAUCCCGACUUACCAACCCUUUGCAAACUCCGAAUACCAGUAAGUACUAUCCGGGAGACACACGGCGGGUGCUAACGUCCGUCGUGGAGAGGGAAACAACCCAGACCGCCAGCUAAGGUCCCAAAUUACUACUAAGUGGGAAACGAUGUGGGAAGGCUCAGACAGCCAGGAUGUUGGCUUAGAAGCAGCCAUCAUUUAAAGAAAGCGUAAUAGCUCACUGGUCGAGUCGGCCUGCGCGGAAGAUGUAACGGGGCUAAGUAGUAAACCGAAGCUGCGGCAAUAUACUUUUGUAUAUUGGGUAGGGGAGCGUUCUGUAAGCGGUUGAAGGUGUGUGGUAACGCAUGCUGGACGUAUCAGAAGUGCGAAUGCUGACAUGAGUAACGAUAAAGGGGGUGAAAAACCUCCUCGCCGGAAGACCAAGGGUUCCUGUCCAACGUUAAUCGGGGCAGGGUAAGUCGACCCCUAAGGCGAGGCCGAAAGGCGUAGUCGAUGGGAAACGGGUUAAUAUUCCCGUACUUCUUACAAUUGCGAUGGGGGGACGGAGAAGGCUAGGUGGGCCUGGCGACGGUUGUCCAGGUUCAAGUGCGUAGGCUUAAGAGUUAGGUAAAUCCGGCUCUUUCUAAGGCUGAGACACGACGUCGAGCACCUACGGGUGUGAAGUCAUUGAUGCCAUGCUUCCAGGAAAAGCCUCUAAGCUUCAGAUUGUAAGGAAUCGUACCCCAAACCGACACAGGUGGUCGGGUAGAGAAUACCAAGGCGCUUGAGAGAACUCGGGUGAAGGAACUAGGCAAAAUGGUACCGUAACUUCGGGAGAAGGUACGCUCUUGAUGGUGAAGUCCCUCGCGGAUGGAGCUGACGAGAGUCGCAGAUACCAGGUGGCUGCAACUGUUUAUUAAAAACACAGCACUGUGCAAAAUCGUAAGAUGACGUAUACGGUGUGACGCCUGCCCGGUGCCGGAAGGUUAAUUGAUGGGGUUAGACUUCGGUCGAAGCUCUUGAUCGAAGCCCCGGUAAACGGCGGCCGUAACUAUAACGGUCCUAAGGUAGCGAAAUUCCUUGUCGGGUAAGUUCCGACCUGCACGAAUGGCGUAAUGAUGGCCACGCUGUCUCCACCCGAGACUCAGUGAAAUUGAAAUCGCUGUGAAGAUGCAGUGUACCCGCGGCUAGACGGAAAGACCCCGUGAACCUUUACUACAGCUUGGCACUGAACAUUGACCCUACAUGUGUAGGAUAGGUGGGAGGCUUUGAAGCACGUACGCCAGUAUGUGUGGAGCCGUCCUUGAAAUACCACCCUUGUAGUGUUGAUGUUCUAACGUCGACCCCUAAUCGGGGUUGCGGACAGUGCCUGGUGGGUAGUUUGACUGGGGCGGUCUCCUCCCAAAGAGUAACGGAGGAGCACGAAGGUGGGCUAAUCACGGUUGGACAUCGUGAGGUUAGUGCAAUGGCAUAAGCCCGCUUGACUGCGAGAAUGACAAUUCGAGCAGGUGCGAAAGCAGGUCAUAGUGAUCCGGUGGUUCUGAAUGGAAGGGCCAUCGCUCAACGGAUAAAAGGUACUCCGGGGAUAACAGGCUGAUACCGCCCAAGAGUUCAUAUCGACGGCGGUGUUUGGCACCUCGAUGUCGGCUCAUCACAUCCUGGGGCUGAAGUCGGUCCCAAGGGUAUGGCUGUUCGCCAUUUAAAGUGGUACGCGAGCUGGGUUUAGAACGUCGUGAGACAGUUCGGUCCCUAUCUGCCGUGGGCGUUGGAAGAUUGAAGGGGGCUGCUCCUAGUACGAGAGGACCGGAGUGGACGAACCUCUGGUGUUCGGGUUGUGUCGCCAGACGCAUUGCCCGGUAGCUAAGUUCGGAAUCGAUAACCGCUGAAAGCAUCUAAGCGGGAAGCGAGCCCUGAGAUGAGUCUUCCCUGAUACUUUAAGUAUCCUAAAGGGUUGUCGGAGACUACGACGUUGAUAGGUCAGGUGUGUAAGUGCUGUGAGGCAUUGAGCUAACUGAUACUAAUUGCCCGUGAGGCUUAACCAU
rnacentral:rRNA from 1 species